AGGAUUUUAGUUUAAAAAAAACAUUUAAUUUGCAUUUAAAUAAUAAUUUGUUUAAUUAAAUCUUA
rnacentral:tRNA from 1 species